CAGGAGCAGAUAGUCUCCACAGUGCGCAAGUCGGGAUUCAAUCAACUCCCGUCCUCUUGGAUCUAAGCCUCUUGCCUCUGAGAAUUGGUCCGACCCGUUUGAGUGCCCGGUUCCCUGCUCGCCCGGGACCCCAGAAGCCCCGACAUCCUCCAGCCGGGUGGCGGCGCUCAGAAGAUGUGGUGCCUCUUGAUGCCGUUCCUUGUUUUUCCAGGCCUCGCUCGGACAGACGACACCCUAUACAUCUCCCCCAUCUCCAUGACCCGCCGUGAGAAUGAAACGGUGACGCUGGACUGCUUCACGUCCAGGAAUCUAGAUGAUCACUUCUUCAUCUGGGGGUCGGCGAAACCCACCGACCAACUCAUCUCCUGGAUCCUGUACUGGACCCCGGGCUCAGCGGGGUCUCUGUACUCGGUGCCCGGCACGGACAGGUUCAGCGGGUCCAAGGACUGGGCCAGCAAGCGGUUCUCACUCACCAUUAAGGACCUGCAGCGAGAGGACUCGGCCAGGUACUACUGUGGCAGCUCCAACACCUACUUCCCCUACAGUACCGACUGGAGCGGAUGUGGAGUUACCCUCACCGUCAACUCUGCCCCACCCCAGUCGCCUCCGCUGGUUCACUUCCACCACCCAAGCCCCGAGGACGUUCUUCAGCAGCGGGAGAUUGCCUUGCUGUGCGUGGCCGAGGACUUUUACCCCGAGGCCAUCUCCAUUACCUGGUCGGUGGACGGGCAGGUGGUGAGCGCGGGUGUCUCUCAUUCAGAGUCCCUGUUGGGGCCGAACUCCACCUACACCAAGAUCAGCAAGUUGUCCACCGGCACAUCUCACUGGAUCAAGGGCUCCGUCUACAGUUGCCACGUGGCCCAUGAGACUCUCGACUCGCCCAUCUCCAAACACGUCAGCAAUGCCGGGCAGUACCCUAAGGUGCCCGCGGUCUACGUGUUGCCAGCGGGCCGCGGGGAAAUGGAUGUAAAGGAGACCACUAUCUCUUGCCUGGCGGCCGGGUAUUACCCCGGUGAAAUCUCCUUCCGCUGGUCUGUCAACGGAGAUCCGGUGGUGAAUGGAGCCAAAAGUUUCGAGCCCAUUCGGAACGACAACGGCACCUACAGCGCCCGGAGCGACUUGGUGACAUCCACGGACAUGUGGAACCUGGGAUCCGUCUACACCUGCAAGGUCCAACAUGUCUCGGUGCCAGACGGGCUGGUCAGAAGCGUUAAUAAGACACGGGUCCUGGUCUUCCGCCAGCCGACCAUCACCCCAAUCAGACUUCCGUCUGACAACUCGGUGCAAGCGCAGACGGUGACCCUCGCUUGCUACAUAUCAGGAUUCUACCCGCCCGACAUCUACGUGACGUGGAAAACCGAGAGGGGGGUGCAGGAGCUGGGCUGGGUGACCAACUUCCCGGUGGUGGCGGACGCCAGCGGGUCCUACAGUACCGCCAGCCAGAUGACCAUCCCCUUGUCCGAUGUGGACCGCUCGCUCACCUACGUCUGCAUGGUGGCCCACGACUCCAUCUCCUUUCCCAUCGAGGAGUGGUUUCAGAUCAGCUGAAUGUCGCCCGGUCAGAGAUUCAUGUUGCCCGGAAUUCGCGCCGACCUGCACCUGUGCAACCGGAGUAACAUUAGUGUGUGCAAUUGGAAGUACCAAGGUGGCAUUUCGCCACUCCUGAUCUACAAACAAUAAACAUAUUUUCUCCUGUC